AGAGUUUGAUCCUGGCUCAGAACGAACGUUGGCGGCGUGGAUUAGGCAUGCAAGUCGAACGAAUCCCGUGGGGGUAACUCUGCGGGGGAAGUGGCGAAAGGGGCAGUAAGGCAUGGGUAACCUACCCCGGGGACCGGGAUAGCCAUCCUAACGGGUGGGUAAUACCGGGCGAGGUAACGAGGGGGCAUCCUCUUGUUACGAAAUGAGUUUCGCCUUGGGAGGGGCUCAUGUAGUAUUAGCUUGUUGGUGGGGUAACGGCCCACCAAGGCCAAGAUGCUUAGCGGGUGUGAGAGCACGACCCGCGCCACUGGCACUGAGACACUGGCCAGACUCCUACGGGAGGCUGCAGUCGAGGAUCUUCGGCAAUGGGCGCAAGCCUGACCGAGCGACGCCGCGUGUGCGAUGAAGGCCUUCGGGUUGUAAAGCACUGUCGAGGGGGAGAAAAGCCCCGCAAAGGGGUCUGAUCUAUCCCUGGAGGAAGCACGGGCUAAGUUCGUGCCAGCAGCCGCGGUAAGACGAACCGUGCAAACGUUGUUCGGAUUCACUGGGCUUAAAGGGCGCGUAGGCGGGCGAUCAAGUCAGGGGUGAAAUCUUUCAGCUCAACUGGAAAAGUGCCUCUGAUACUGAUUGUCUUGAGGGAGGUAGGGGCAUGUGGAACUUCCGGUGGAGCGGUGAAAUGCGUAGAUAUCGGAAGGAACGCCGGUGGCGAAAGCGACGUGCUGGACCUCUUCUGACGCUGAGGCGCGAAAGCCAGGGGAGCGAACGGGAUUAGAUACCCCGGUAGUCC
rnacentral:rRNA from 1 species